UAGGGAAUCUUCCACAAUGGACGCAAGUCUGAUGGAGCAACGCCGCGUGAGUGAAGAAGGUCUUCGGAUCGUAAAACUAUGUUGUUAGAGAAGAACACGAGUGAGAGUAACUGUUCAUUCGAUGACGGUAUCUAACCAGCAAGUCACGGCUAACUACGUGCCCG
rnacentral:rRNA from 1 species